rnacentral:lncRNA from 1 species
CACAGCCUGAUCUACCAGAGCAGUGGGAACAGGACACAUACACGUCUUCUCACAGCAGAGUGCCUCGCCAACUGAUGAAUAUAGAGAGCUACCCUAUGCUUCCAUCGUGCAGCAUCUGCCCUGAGCGCUCACUGCCUCUGAGCUCUACUACAUAAACACGUAGCACCAGGGUAUGAGGCUAAUUUCAUCAACAUAUUCAACAAGCUAAAGAUUACAGGAAGUGCAUUGGUGGUGAUUCCUUGGUCAGUUUACAUGGCAUUUUACUGGUGUCAUAUCUGUUGGAUUUGCUACAGUUCCAGACCUCCCAGACACUGCACCUCAUCAGUCUGAACACUCUCUCUGCUCCCUCUGAAAUACAGCUCUGAAUACUAGAGGGUGCAUGGUCCUGAGAGUGCUUCUCCCACCACCAAUAUACCGAAUGCAGGUACUAAAAACGACAUGAUCCUGAGAGGGUUUUUCCCACCACCAGUGUAAUGAGUUGGAAAGUAGACUGCCCACCCAAGCAUUGAUGAGGCCCGAAAGUCAUAAUGUAGCGCUGGAAGCAAUAUGGCUGAAUAUCUCUACCAGGUGACCAAAAGAACAAGAGACCCGAAACCUUAGUUCUGACUCUCUGGAGCAUUCACCAUCAUGAAUGGGCAGGCUCUGGAGCAAAAGACAUUAUGUUACCUUGUUGUUUUACACAAAUUCCUAUUGAAAAUUGAUACCUGGUAGGGGUUGGGGGUGUAGAGGGUAAAGUGGUUC